AAAUCAGUCCCUAAUAACCUACAGGUGCUACUGGAAGCCAGCUUUUCCUUGAAGGACUUCUUGCUUCAUUUGUAAUGCUCUCCAGGGGCAACACUUUUAUGGUCUAAGUUCUACAGGCUGAAGAUUGUUUGUUCCAGCAUCAUCUGUGGACCGGGGCUGUGAUCCUACACAGGAGCGGUGGCAGUGCUAGCUCCAUCAAAGGAUUCCAGCUCAAUGAAGUGAACACUGGUGUUUCCAUAUUCCUUAAGAGACUCGGAAGUUAAGUUACCUGUCCAGUGCUACACAGCAGAAAGUAGCAGGGCCAGGACUUCAACGUAUUGUUCCUGAGUUAUAUCUUUCGUAAUGAGCCAGCAAUCUAAUGGAGAAGUCUUGAGGCUACUGUAAGAAUAAGACUGAAAACCAGAGGCAGGAGGCUUAAGUCCAAAACCUGAGAACACCAGAGAACUCCUGACUCCAGGGAAUAUUAAUCAAUAUGAGCUCAUCAAAAGCCUCCAUACCUUCACUGAAACCAAGCACCACCCAAGAGCCAACAAGUUCCAGAGCAAGACAUACUAGGCAAAUUCUCCAGCAACACAGGUACAUGGCCCUGAGCUUCAAUAUACAGGCUUCCCAAAGUCACACCAAGCUCACUGAUACCUCAAAACUCACUACUAGACACUUCAUUGCACUCCAGAGAGAAGAAAUCCAGCUCCACCCACCAGAACACAGACACAAGCUUCCCUAACCAGGAUACCCUGACAAGUCACCCAUCCAACCCUACCCAUAGCAAGGAACCUCCACAAUAAAGAGGAACCACAAACUGCCAGAACACAGAAAAGCCACCCCAAACACAGCAUAUAAACAAGAUGAAAAGGGAGAGAAAUACUCACCAGGUAAAGGAACAGGAAAAAUGCCCACCAAACCAAACAAAAGAGGAAGGGUAGGGAAUCUACCUGAUAAAGAAUUCAGAAUAAUGAUAGUGAAAAUGAUCCAAAAUCUUGAAAAAAAAAAUGAAGUUACAGAUAAAUAUCCUGAAGACAAGGAUUGAGAAGAUGCAAGAAAGGUUUGACAAGGACCUAGAAGAAAUAAAGAAGAGUCAAUAUAUAUAAUGAAUAAUGCAAUAAAUGAGAUCAAAAACACUCUGGAAGGAACCAACAAUAGAAUAACGGAGGCAGAAGAUAGGAUAAGUAAAGUAGAAGAUAGGAUAAGUGAAAUAGAAGAUAGAAUGGUAGAAAUAAAUGAAGCAGAAAGGAAAAAAGAAAAAAGAAUUAAAAGAAAUGAGGACAACCUCAGAGACCUCGAGGACAAUGUUAAACUCCCCAACAUUUGAAUCAUAGGGGCCCCAGAAGAAGACAAAAAGAAAGACCAUGAGAAAAUACUUGAGGAGAUAAUAGUUGAAAACUUCCCUAAAAUGGGGAAGGAAAUAGUCACCCAAGUCCAAGAAACCCAGAGAGUCUCAAACAGGAUACACCCAAGGUGAAACACCCCAAGACACAUAUUAAUCAAAUUAACAAAGAUCAAACAAAAAGAACAAAUAUUAAAAACAGCAAGGGAAAAACAACAAAUAACACACAAAGGGAUUUCUAUAAGGAUAGCAGCUGAUCUUUCAAUAGAAACUCUUCAGGCCAGAAGGGAAUGGCAGGACAUACUUAAAGUGAUGAAAGAGAAAAACCUACAAUCCAGAUUACUGACCCAGCAAGGAUCUCAUUCAAAUAUGAAGGAGAAAUCAAAAGCUUUACAGACAAGCAAAAGCUGAGAGAAUUCAGCACCACCAAACCAGCUCUCCAACAUAUGCUAAAGGAUCUUCUCUAGACAGGAAACAUAUAAAUGGUAUAUAAAUUCAAACCCAAAACAACAAAGUAAAUAGCAACGGGAUCAUACUUAUCAAUAAUUACCUUAAACGUAAAUGGGUUGAAUGCCCCAACCAAAAGACAAACACUGGCUGAAUGGAUAUAAAAACAAGACCCCU
ensembl:lncRNA